UACUGCUAAUUCUUCUCUGAAAUGAUCUAGCUGGUCUUCAUGUCUGAGUGCAGAGUACCUAGCAGAUUGUUGGUGCUAUGCGUGUAACAAAACUCCAUUAUAUCCGUUAGUGAUAAGCAUCCUUGACAUCCCUGGUUUCCAGACAUUCCCAUCCCAAAAAUAUUUUGUGGAUUAUGAAAACUUGUUGGAUUUUGCACAGAGCCCCACAAAAUCUAGGACGAGUUCUCAUUUCAGGGGAAUGUUUGUGUAUUUAAAAAAAAAUAAACUAUUUCUACUGGAGUUAAAUUUAAACAAGAAACUCCUGGAAACAUUUCUGUUGUUCUUAGGUUUAAUACAAGUGGAUCUUUACUGGGCUUAAAUUUGGAACCAGAUUGGACCUGAUUAUAAAGUUCUUACUCAUUUCUCAGUAACACAAGCCCUCUUCAGUCUGAAAUAUGUUGCACAGCAUUGUAUUGAUUCCUUAUGGGCUAUUACUAAGACAAAACCAUCUUAGAGUCCUUUUAUCUUGCAACUUAUCAUACUACAUUGUAGGGAGCCUUCUGCUCCAAUGUAUGUCUUUCCUCAAGAAACCAGUUCUCUGUUGAAACAGGAGGAUCAUUAGCUUUCAAGUACUUAUCAUGGGGUUUCAAGAGGGAGCUAAAAAUAGUCUAUUCUGAUAACAGCUUCAUAUGACAAAUGUCAGGCUCUUCUAAUGCCUCCCUUUAUAAGACACAGGGCAAGCCAACCAACAUUUUCACAGUUGUCAAGGAACACUCUAAGCUGAAACACACUAGAACAAAACCUGACAGUGAACCACUGCUGCAUCUGUGUGCUGGUUAUAUAAGGAGGUCAUAUUAGGUGAUUGCAGUGAUCCCUUCUGGCCUUGGAACCUACAAAUCUAUGAAUCAAACUGAAAGACACCACUAAGAGGCAAUAAAACAGAUAAAGAUGAAUCAAUCACUGGACUGGAAGUUGGUGGUUGCCUAGGGUCCUUAUCUUCAAGGUGCUCCCUGGCCUGGGCUUAGGAGAGCUAAAACACUGCCUACAGCUCCAGGAUGAAGACUGUGGUCAACAACUUCACUCCUCUAGUACAGUAGAGCUCCCUACAGUAAGAGUAAAGCUCCUCUGCUCUGGAGACAAAACUUUCUUGGGGGCCAGUUCAAGACUAUGGAAUGGACUCCCACAGAAACUAAAGACCAUUACACUCUUCACCAUCUUCAACUCCAAGGUCAAGAUGCAUUUUUUUGACCUUGUCUUCUCUAAUAUGAAUGAAUAGCAUAUAUAUUUUAAUAGCAAACACAAAACAAAAAAUGUGCCACAACAACAACACAAAAAACAAUACACACACACACACACCCUGGAAAAAAACACGUGCCUCCACAAAACACUCCAAUUCAUGCACUUUUUCUCCCCCUGAGGAGAGGAUGAGAGAGCAACCAAUGUGUGACUGAUGUUGGUCAUGUUGUUCAAUGCACUGCUGAAAGGUGCUCAGAUAUUAUGGUGAUGAGUACAGUAUAAGAACCUAUAUAGAAUAGGAGGACUUGUGGCACCUUAGAGACUAACAAAUUUAUUUGAGCAUAAGCUUUCGUGAGCUACAGCUCACUUCAUCAGAUGCAUUCAGUGGAAAAUACAAACUAACAUGGCUGCUACUCUGAAACCUAUAUAGAAUAGAAUUCUUGCUAUAUACCAUUUCUGUUCAGCAGCUGAAUGAGCUACCAUAACUCUCUCCCAUAAACAUAGGUGCUAAACUCUGCCUCUGGGCUUCUUGACAGGUAGAAAGAGUUCCUUGAACUUCUGCUUCAAUCCAUCUAUAUGGCUGGCUCAUUUCAGCCACCACUGCAAUUGCAAUUAAUUUUUGUUUCAAGGACUGUGAUCCCAAUUACAAUACAAAUCUCACCAACAAAGAACUAGAUUUUUUUACUG